UUAAGCGACUAAGCGUACACGGUGGAUGCCCUGGCAGUCAGAGGCGAUGAAGGACGUGCUAAUCUGCGAAAAGCGUCGGUAAGGUGAUAUGAACCGUUAUAACCGGCGAUGUCCGAAUGGGGAAACCCAGUGCAAUUCGUUGCACUAUCGUUAACUGAAUACAUAGGUUAACGAGGCGAACCGGGGGAACUGAAACAUCUAAGUACCCCGAGGAAAAGAAAUCAACCGAGAUUCCCCCAGUAGCGGCGAGCGAACGGGGAGCAGCCCAGAGCCUGAAUCAGUGUGUGUGUUAGUGGAAGCGUCUGGAAAGGCGCGCGAUACAGGGUGACAGCCCCGUACACAAAAAUGCACAUGCUGUGAGCUCGAUGAGUAGGGCGGGACACGUGGUAUCCUGUCUGAAUAUGGGGGGACCAUCCUCCAAGGCUAAAUACUCCUGACUGACCGAUAGUGAACCAGUACCGUGAGGGAAAGGCGAAAAGAACCCCGGCGAGGGGAGUGAAAAAGAACCUGAAACCGUGUACGUACAAGCAGUGGGAGCACCUUCGGGUGUGACUGCGUACCUUUUGUAUAAUGGGUCAGCGACUUAUAUUCUGUAGCAAGGUUAACCGAAUAGGGGAGCCGAAGGGAAACCGAGUCUUAACUGGGCGUUAAGUUGCAGGGUAUAGACCCGAAACCCGGUGAUCUAGCCAUGGGCAGGUUGAAGGUUGGGUAACACUAACUGGAGGACCGAACCGACUAAUGUUGAAAAAUUAGCGGAUGACUUGUGGCUGGGGGUGAAAGGCCAAUCAAACCGGGAGAUAGCUGGUUCUCCCCGAAAGCUAUUUAGGUAGCGCCUCGUGAAUUCAUCUCCGGGGGUAGAGCACUGUUUCGGCAAGGGGGUCAUCCCGACUUACCAACCCGAUGCAAACUGCGAAUACCGGAGAAUGUUAUCACGGGAGACACACGGCGGGUGCUAACGUCCGUCGUGAAGAGGGAAACAACCCAGACCGCCAGCUAAGGUCCCAAAGUCAUGGUUAAGUGGGAAACGAUGUGGGAAGGCCCAGACAGCCAGGAUGUUGGCUUAGAAGCAGCCAUCAUUUAAAGAAAGCGUAAUAGCUCACUGGUCGAGUCGGCCUGCGCGGAAGAUGUAACGGGGCUAAACCAUGCACCGAAGCUGCGGCAGCGACACUAUGUGUUGUUGGGUAGGGGAGCGUUCUGUAAGCCUGCGAAGGUGUGCUGUGAGGCAUGCUGGAGGUAUCAGAAGUGCGAAUGCUGACAUAAGUAACGAUAAAGCGGGUGAAAAGCCCGCUCGCCGGAAGACCAAGGGUUCCUGUCCAACGUUAAUCGGGGCAGGGUGAGUCGACCCCUAAGGCGAGGCCGAAAGGCGUAGUCGAUGGGAAACAGGUUAAUAUUCCUGUACUUGGUGUUACUGCGAAGGGGGGACGGAGAAGGCUAUGUUAGCCGGGCGACGGUUGUCCCGGUUUAAGCAUGUAGGCUGGUUGUCCAGGCAAAUCCGGAUAAUCAAGGCUGAGGUGUGAUGACGAGGCACUACGGUGCUGAAGUAACAAAUGCCCUGCUUCCAGGAAAAGCCUCUAAGCAUCAGGUAACAUCAAAUCGUACCCCAAACCGACACAGGUGGUCAGGUAGAGAAUACCAAGGCGCUUGAGAGAACUCGGGUGAAGGAACUAGGCAAAAUGGUGCCGUAACUUCGGGAGAAGGCACGCUGGUGUGUAGGUGAAGUCCCUGCGGAUGGAGCUGAGACCAGUCGAAGAUACCAGCUGGCUGCAACUGUUUAUUAAAAACACAGCACUGUGCAAACACGAAAGUGGACGUAUACGGUGUGACGCCUGCCCGGUGCCGGAAGGUUAAUUGAUGGGGUUAUCCGUAAGGAGAAGCUCUUGAUCGAAGCCCCGGUAAACGGCGGCCGUAACUAUAACGGUCCUAAGGUAGCGAAAUUCCUUGUCGGGUAAGUUCCGACCUGC
rnacentral:rRNA from 1 species